GCCAGACUCCUACGGGAGGCAGCAGUGAGGAAUAUUGGUCAAUGGGAGAGAUCCUGAACCAGCCAAGCCGCGUGAGGGAAGACGGCCCUAUGGGUUGUAAACCUCUUUUGUCGGAGAACAAAACCCGGGACGUGUCCCGGACUGCGUGUAUCCGAAGAAAAAGCAUCGGCUAACUCCGUGCCAGCAGCCGCGGUAAUACGGAGGAUGCGAGCGUUGUCCGGAAUCAUUGGGCGUAAAGAGUUCGUAGGUGGCACGUUAAGUCUGGUGUUAAAUGCAGAGGCUCAACCUCUGUUCGGCACUGGAUACUGGCGAGCUUGAAUGCGGUAGAGGUAAAGGGAAUUCCUGGUGUAGCGGUGAAAUGCGUAGAUAUCAGGAGGAACAUCGGUGGCGUAAGCGCUUUACUGGGCCGUAAUUGACACUGAGGAACGAAAGCCAGGGUAGCAAAUGGGAUUAGAUACCCCUGUA
rnacentral:rRNA from 1 species